GUCAGUGGAGGUGGUGUUCCCCCGGACCUCCCAGCCAGCGGGCGUGUGUACUCAUACUUACACUAAUAUACUCUGGCCCUGUGUGUACAUUCUCUACCGUUUGAUAUUACACGUAAUGAUGACAGAAAUCUGAAGAGUAUAAAGACAGAAGAAAUUAAC